rnacentral:rRNA from 1 species
AGUGAACGCUGGCGGUAGGCCUAACACAUGCAAGUCGAACGGCAGCACAGUAAGAGCUUGCUCUUACGGGUGGCGAGUGGCGGACGGGUGAGGAAUACAUCGGAAUCUACUUUUUCGUGGGGGAUAACGUAGGGAAACUUACGCUAAUACCGCAUACGACCUACGGGUGAAAGCAGGGGAUCUUCGGACCUUGCGCGAUUGAAUGAGCCGAUGUCGGAUUAGCUAGUUGGCGGGGUAAAGGCCCAACAAUGCGACGAUCCGUAGCUGGUCUGAGAGGCUGAUCAGCCACACUGGAACUGAGUCCCGGUCCAGACCCCGACGGCAGGCAGCAGUGGCGAAUAUUGGACAAUGGGCGCAAGCCUGCUCCGGCCAUACCGCGUGGGUGAAGAAGGCUUUCGUGUUGUAAAGCCCUUUUGUUGGGAAAGAAAAGCAGCAGGUUAAUACCCCGCUGUUCUGACGGUACCCAAAGAAUAAGCACCGGCUAACUUCGUG